rnacentral:lncRNA from 1 species
AGCCAACCCUCUUCCGGCGCCGAGGCGCGGCCACGCCCCUUCUGGACCCUAAAGCUGCAACGAACAGGCACUGAGAGCGGGCGUACGCAUGCGCAGCACGCCGGUAGUCCCCUACGGACUGAGGCUGCCCGCCUUUUCCUCUGGUCUCUCGGAACUGAGCCUCAGCCUCUGCUGUUGGUAGACACUACGAAUGACUCUUCCGGGCCCCGUUUGUCUAUUCGUUAGGCGGUCAACAAUCUCAAGGAGGUUCUGUAUCUCUACUAGAAAAAGCGGUCUAGGGUGUGCAGUGCGAGCCGAGCCCCACCCCACCCCACCCCCCCGCGUACCCGCCCCCGAGCGCUAGUAAGCAAUUCCUGCUAGUCCCGGAGGCCGCGUCGGUUUGGGGACCUGCAUUAAAGACCUAGUCUUUCUUGGGGCUUCAUUAAUGUUUCUCGAACCACAUCAGAUGGUUUCUGCUUAGUCGGCCUAGCUCCAGCUACUUCUGCGACCUGGACAUUAUCUUCCUUUGUGAUUCGCACUCUCUCAAAUUCAUCACUUUAAAAGUAUUCCAGAAAACCAGUCCCUGAGUGAACAAGUGAUCACAAUUACCCAACGGUUUUUUUUGUAGCUCUCUCUUCAACCUGGUGUUUUUAUCAUCCGCGUUGGGAACUGGACGCUUUAUCUACAUUUGAAGGCUAUAUGAAGGCUGAAAGUUUACAUUGUAAACAAUGUAUUGGCUGUAUUGGAAACGUGAACAUGAUAUGUUCACGAAGCUCCAAGUGAGGAGGUGUGAUGAGUUUAUAGACCUUAAAAAAAAAUGGAGAUAGCCUAGAAGAUGUAGUGUGCACGCCUUUAAUCCCAUAAGGUAGAAGCAGGAGGUUUUCUGAGUUCCAGGCCUGCCUGAUGUACAUAGAGCUUGAAAGCCAGGACAACCAGGGCUACAGGAAACCCUCCCUGCCUGAACAAACAAAAGAGACUAGUUGUCUCAGGUUAUGUAUUUGGCUCAGUUCUUAAAAAGCUUGGCAACCUGAGUUGGAACCCCAGAAUUCUCAUAAAAGUAGAAGGUGAAAUUCUUCACGAAGUUACACCCUGACUGUGUACUGUGGCACACAUACAUCACCCAUACCUAAUUCUGGGUGGUAGUAAUCCUAGCACUCAGGAGGUCGCUGACUUUUAGGCCAGCUUGUUACCAUAGUGAGUUCCAAGACUACAUACAGAGACCCUGUCUCAACAACAAAAUGGAGCAGGGCAGUGAAAUGGCUCAGCGGGUAAUGCCAAUAGUGACGACCUAAAUUCAAUUCUGGAACUGGAACAAUGGAAGGAGAGAACCAACCAACUAACUUGUCCUCUGACUUCUACAGGCAGCCUGGAAUGACAUGCUUGUCAUGGCACAUUCACACCCACAGACAUAAGCAACAUAAAGUAAAUGCAUAAAUGUAAUUUAAAAGUUCUUUUAAAGCCGGGCGUGGUGGCACAUGCCUUUAAUCCCCAGCACUCCAGAGGCAGAGGCAGGCCAAUUUCUGAGUUCGAGGCCAGCCUGGUCUACAGAGUGAGUUCCAGGACAGCCAGGGCUAUAUAGAGAAACCCUGUCUCGAAAAAAAAAAAAACAAAAAACUUUUAAGGACCUGGAGAGAUGGCUUAAUGGUUAAGAGCACUGACUGCUCUUCUGAAGGUCCUGGUUUCAAAUCCCAGCAGCCACAAGGAGGCUCACAACCACCCUUAAUGAGAUCUGACGCCCUCUUCUGAUGUGUCUGAAGACAGACAGCUACAGUGUAUUUACAUUUAAUAAUAAAUAUUUUUUAAGUUCUUUUAAAAAGAAAAAUGGCAGGAGGCAGAGGCCGGCAGAUUUCUGAAUUCCAGGCCAGCCUGGUCUACAAAGUGAGUUCCAGGACAGCCAGAGCUAUACAGAGAAACUCUGUCUCGAAAAAAACCAAAAAAAAAAAAAAAUAAUAAUAAUAAAAUAAAUGGCUAGAGAGAUGGCUCAGCGGUUAAGAGCACUGACUGCUUUUCCAGAGGUCCUGAGUUCAAUUCCUAGCAACCACAUGAUGACUCACAACCAUCUGUAAUGGGACCCAAUGCCCUCUUCUGGUGUGUGUCUGAAGACAGCUAUAGUGUGUUCAUACAAAUAAAAAUAUAUAUCUUCU